CGCGAGCUAGUAUCGUUGAGUAUUUUGGUGUGACGGAAGGUCACCGCUGCGGUUAUUGCGGUCAGAAGGACACUAAGAUAUCGCACGGGAUGUGGGUACACACCAUGACCCUCAGCGACUAUGAGAUGCUGCUAGAACGAGGAUGGAGGAGGAGUGGCAAGUACUGCUUUAAGCCCCUCAUGGAGAAAUGCUGCUGCCCCAUGUACAUGAUCAGGCUUCCUGUCGAGGACUUCCGGAUGACGCGAUCGCAGAAGAGGCUCCUGAGGAGGGUGCACCGCUACCUAAGCACGGGGGAGAAGCCGUGGGGAG